CUUCUCUGUCAUCUUCCCUCAGGCUUUCUCUGCAGUCUGCCAAUCCAACUGGCUCCUUUGCUGACCACUCUUCAAUAAUUUAUCUUUGAAGACAUUCAACUCCAUGUCGCCACUAAGGGACAAGAUGGCUCUGGGCAUGAGUCAUGGCUGUAAGGCUGGGAAGAUUCCGAUGGGAACCUUGCUCUUGCUGGUUGAUUCAUACCUUACAUGGACUUGAGGCUGAGCAUGGCUUUUAUUAACAUUCUCCUGUAACUCCCAUCAUGGCAACCUCAGACAACUCAGCUUGACACACCAUCAUCACCACUUCUCAUCCUACCAGUGUGCUCACUGUCUUCCGGAUUCUG